GACGAACGCUGGCGGCGUGCUUAACACAUGCAAGUCGAACGGAAAGGCCCUGCUUUUGUGGGGUGCUCGAGUGGCGAACGGGUGAGUAACACGUGAGUAACCUGCCCUUGACUUUGGGAUAACUUCAGGAAACUGGGGCUAAUACCGGAUAGGAGCUCCUGCUGCAUGGUGGGGGUUGGAAAGUUUCGGCGGUUGGGGAUGGACUCGCGGCUUAUCAGCUUGUUGGUGGGGUAGUGGCUUACCAAGGCUUUGACGGGUAGCCGGCCUGAGAGGGUGACCGGCCACAUUGGGACUGAGAGACGGCCCAGACUCGUACGUGAGGCAGAAGUGGAGAAUAUUGCACAAGGAGCGGAAGCCUGAUGCAGCAACGCCGCGUGCGGGAUGACGGCCUACUGGUUGUAAACCGCUUUCGCCUGUAACGAAGCGUGAGUGACGGUAAUGGGUAAAGAAGCACCGGCUAACUACGUG
rnacentral:rRNA from 1 species